GAAAAUUAUAGGCCUCUCUCAUCUUUUUAAGUGGGAGAACUUGCACAAUUGGUGGCUGACUAAAUACUUUUUUUUGCCCCACUGUAUAUGGUGCUUUGAAUGUUUUAAAGGCAAUAUGCCUAAAACUUAUGCACCUGGUGCUCUUAUGUUUUAUAUCUUUAUUUAACUAUUUUUUUGCAGCAGGCUUCUUGACUUUAGGCUUCUUCGCUGCAGCAGGCUUCUUGACUUUAGGCUUCUUCUCUGCAGCAGGCUUCUUGACUUUAGGCUUCUUAGCUGCAGCAGGCUUCUUGACUUUAGGCUUCUUAGCUGCAGCAGGCUUCUUGACUUUAGGCUUCUUAGCUGCAGCAGGCUUCUUGACUUUAGGCUUCUUAGCUGCAGCAGGCUUCUUGACUUUAGGCUUCUUCGCUGCAGCAGGCUUCUUGGGUACAGGUGCCUUGGGUGCGGUCUUCAUGUUUUUCUCAAGGUGGUCCUCAAUUUUGGGCUUCUUGGCGUUAUUUACAGUGCUUCCAACUGUCCCAAUUCCAAUGCUUUCAGCCUUCCUCUUCAGGUUUGGUUGGGCUUGGUGAAUAGGCAUAGCUGGAGGCAUAACAGGUGAAACAGUUACAUCACAACAUAAGUAAUGAGAUUACAUUAUAAAUGUGUUUGGUUAUGAACAGUGGAAAGCGUAAUUUGACAAUUCUCCAUGUAAAAUCUUAGAAUUACAAAUGGUACCCAUUUACUGUAGUUAUAAUUAAUCACUGUAGAGUUUAUUUCAUUUGCCGUUCUUUCAGCACCCAUGACACGAGACGAUGCUGGAGGAGAACCUUGAGAUGGAGGCAUCCAUGAGGAGGAUCCUUUUGAUGGAAAUAUCAAAGAGAAAAUACUAAUGUUAUAAUGGUGCCUGCAACCAUUGCACUGCAACAUCCUGUUCCGUUUACUUUGUUUGUUGAACAUAGAACAUCAUUGUCUGUAGUACGAUCACAUUUGUUGUGUGCAAUUAAUAAGAUCUUGGCAUUAAACAAAAUCAGGGGCUCAACUUUCACUGGGAAUGCGGGGAACAUGUCCCCCCACAUUCUGAAAUUGCAUUUUUGUCCCCCCCAGUUUUAUCAUUGGAAUGUGAUACAAAGCGAGGCAGCGGUGUGCUUCAGGACCAUGCGGAUGCCUCUGAGCGGUCGGGUAGGCUGUUUGGAGUGCUUCUCCGACGGGGGUAAAAAAACACACACACAAAAGGAUAGAUCAACAAUGAGAUCUGGGAGUAGCCAUGGAGGAACAUACCCUAUCACCACAGACUGGCCAACCUCUAACUCCCUCAAACCACUUUCAUCAGCAAGCUUUCCAACUGUCCAACCAAAACCACUGCCUUGUCUACUAGUAUAUUCCCAACAGUCAUCUAGAACAGUAUUUAUUUGUCAUUUAACUAGGUAAGUCCAGUUAAGGACAAAUUCUUAUUUUACAAUGACAGCCUACCCCGGCCAAACCCUCCCCUAACCUGGAUGGCGCUGGACCAAUUGUGCGCCGCCGUAUGGUAGCAGUGGGAUGCUCAACCUCACAGCCUUUCAACCUACCAUUUUCUUUACGCUGUAUAUCCAAAGGCAUCUCACCAGGAUUGUCAACUCCAUAGGCAUCAGAUAAAAUGGAUCCUAUUUUAUCUCGAAAAGAGCGAAUAAAUAAGGAGGACAAAACCCAGUUAUAUAAUCUCCCACCAAUACCAAGUCUUUCCAUCUUAAUCAGUAGGCCUUCUCUCCACAUAGUGUCGUAGGCCUUUUCAAUGUCAAAGACAG
ensembl:lncRNA